rnacentral:rRNA from 1 species
GAUGAACGCUGGCGGCGUGCCUAAUACAUGCAAGUCGAGCGAACGGACGAGAAGCUUGCUUCUCUGAUGUUAGCGGCGGACGGGUGAGUAACACGUGGAUAACCUACCUAUAAGACUGGGAUAACUUCGGGAAACCGGAGCUAAUACCGGAUAAUAUUUUGAACCGCAUGGUUCAAAAGUGAAAGACGGUCUUGCUGUCACUUAUAGCUGGAUCCGCGCUGCAUUAGCUAGUUGGUAAGGUAACGGCUUACCAAGGCAACGAUGCAUAGCCGACCUGAGAGGGUGAUCGGCCACACUGGAACUGAGACACGGUCCAGACUCCUACGGGAGGCAGCAGUAGGGAAUCUUCCGCAAAGGGCGAAAGCCUGACGGAGCAACGCCGCGUGAGUGAUGAAGGUCUUCGGAUCGUAAAACUCUGUUAUUAGGGAAGAACAUAUGUGUAAGUAACUGUGCACAUCUUGACGGUACCUAAUCAGAAAGCCACGGCUAACUACGUG